rnacentral:rRNA from 1 species
GAUGAACGCUGGCGGCGUGCCUAAUACAUGCAAGUCGAGCGAACAGACGAGGAGCUUGCUCCUCUGACGUUAGCGGCGGACGGGUGAGUAACACGUGGAUAACCUACCUAUAAGACUGGGAUAACUUCGGGAAACCGGAGCUAAUACCGGAUAACAUGUUGAACCGCAUGGUUCAACAGUGAAAGACGGUCUUGCUGUCACUUAUAGAUGGAUCCGCGCCGCAUUAGCUAGUUGGUAAGGUAACGGCUUACCAAGGCAACGAUGCGUAGCCGACCUGAGAGGGUGAUCGGCCACACUGGAACUGAGACACGGUCCAGACUCCUACGGGAGGCAGCAGUAGGGAAUCUUCCGCAAUGGGCGAAAGCCUGACGGAGCAACGCCGCGUGAGUGAAGAAGGUCUCCGGAUCGUAAAACUCUGUUAUUAGGGAAGAACAAAUGUGUAAGUAACUAUGCACGUCUUGACGGUACCUAAUCAGAAAGCCACGGCUAACUACGUG